rfam:Danio rerio chromosome 4, GRCz11 reference primary assembly.
GCCUGGUUAGCUCAUUCGGUAGAGCAUGAGACUCUUAAUCUCAGGGUUGUGGGCUCGAGCCCCACGUUUGGUG